AUGAAGCUGGAAUCGCUAGUAAUCGCGAAUCAGCAUGUCGCGGUGAAUACGUUCCCGGGUCUUGUACACACCGCCCGUCACACCAUGGGAGUCGGAAAUGCCCGAAGCCAGUGACCCAACCUUUAAGGAGGGAGCUGUCGAAGGCAGGUCUGGUAACUGGGGUGAAGUCGUAACAAGGUACC
rnacentral:rRNA from 1 species